CUUUGCAUACCCAUGGAAGAUUGGAAGUGGCACUAAUAGUCUGGGGGCGGCGAUGGUGUUCUUCAGAGGAAGCUUAGCAGUAGGACAUAAGGCUGAUGUCAAUUCUGUAGAUCCCCAACAGUCUCUCUGUUGACUUUCAAGGCUCAAAAGUUCUCUGCAUUUCUCUUCUGUGAGCAUCAAACAAUUCAAAGGAGAUAGAAAUUAAGGUACCACCUUGCAAAUCAGUUCAGUUCAUCUCGAGUACGUCCAAUACUUUCCUUUCCUGGUUGGCUUUCUUUCAUUCUUUCUUCGCCUUGCGUAUUCUGUUGAUCGAGUUAUGUCUUAUUUCCGUACGUUGUUUCCUUGUCAAGUUUGUUAUUGCUUACCUUGAUUGUGCAUGCUUCCUCAGUUCAUUACUCAAAACAAAAACAAA